rnacentral:tRNA from 1 species
GGCCUUGUGGUGUUGUAACACAGUAGAUUGCAAAUCUGAAGAUGUGGGCUUAUUACCCUCCGGGGCUU